CCAGGGACCUCCAAUGGAACCGGGACGACUCUAUGUACUUCUUGUGGUGCUGAACAUUUCCCCGGAAAGCCUCGGGUUAUCUACUCAGCUCCCGGCCUCCCUGUGGGCCUGUCAACUGCCAGCUUCCCAGCGCUUCCGUGGGAAUGCAGAAGGCAAAGGUUUAAAAAACCGAGGCCGUGAAAGGUCCGGCCUAUGGCGCGGCGGACCACCCACGCCGAGGGCCACGGAGCGGCUUAAUAGCAACAGCCUUGGGAUUGUGCGUCCGCGCCGCGCCCGAGAGACCCGCGGUCCGCGCCGGGGUUCUUACCCUUUCCGCUGCUUUUGUAAAGACGGAGGAAGAGGAAGAGAAGACGAAGAGUAAGACCAAGAAAAAGACGACGACAGGAAAGACAAAGAGACCCGUGGCGGCCCGGCUAGGGGAAGACCGAGGAAGGCCGGGAGGAGACGGAGAAGCGUUGGGCGAGGGAAAAGGGCUGAAUGUGAACUCAAAG
rnacentral:lncRNA from 1 species